rnacentral:lncRNA from 1 species
AUGAUAUCAUCCAAAUAGGCCGCUGCGUACUGCUGGUGGGGUCGAAGUACUUUGUCCAUCAGGCGCUGGAAUGUGGGUGGGGCUCCGUGGAGACCGAACGGGAGCACCCGGUACUGAUAUAGUCCGUCUGUUGUCGAAAACAGCAUCUUAUCUCGGGAGGAGGCUGUCAACGGUACCUGCCAAUAACCUUUGGUCGGGUCAAGUGUGCUGAUGUACCGGGCCUUUCCCAAUCGGUCGAUGAGUUCGUCCACCCUCGGCAUGGGGUAGGCUUCGAACAAGCUGAUGUCGUUCACCCCCCGGAAAUCGUUACAGAAGCACAGGCUCCUGUCCGGUUUGGGCACCAACACGAUUGGGCUGUACCAUGGACUCUUCAACGACCCCCAUCCUCAGCAUAGCCUCCACCUCCUGUGUCACGGCCUUCCUUCGGGCCUCCGGAAUCCGAUAUGGCCUCUUUCGUACCGUUUCCCCAGGACGGGUACGGAUGUGGUGUUCAAUGAGGGUCGUGUGGCCCGGCUUCUCGGAGAACACCGGCGUGUUCCGAUCGACGAGCUCCCUGAGCUCUUGCUUCUGGGCCGGGUCGAGGUCCCCAUUGCUCGGGACCACCACUGGUACCGUUGGCGUCCUGGGUCCCGACCAUAACACGGCCAAGGCUGCCCUCUCGUACCAUUUCUUCAACAGGUUCACGUGAUAAAUCUGUUGGGGUUUCCAUCUCCCCGGCUGCCAUACACGGUAAUUGACAGGUGCCAGCUUCUCGAUCACCUCGUAUGGCCCGUGCCAUGUUGCCAGGAACUUACUUUCAGCCGUGGGGCUCAAGACCACCCUGUCAAGACACCCUGUCUCCCACCUGGAAUUCUCGGGGCUGGGCUCCACGAUUGUAGGCUUGGGCGCAUUGGGCCUUCUCCAUAUGUUCCCUCACGACUGGCCAUAUGGCUGUCAUCCGCUCCCUCAUCGUCUCCACGUGCUCUACCAUGCUGCGUAAUGAGGUUGGUUGGGCUUCCCACACCUCCUUGGCGAGGUCCAGUAGGUCUGCUUAGCCUCCUCCCGUAGAGGAGUUCAAACGGGGAAAACCCAGUGGAGGACUGGGGUACCUCUCGGAUUGAGAACAUUAGGUGGGGUAGUAGCUGGUCCCAGUUCUUCCCGUCCUGCUCGAUGACCUUCCGCAGCAUUUGUUUGAGCAUUUUAUUGAACCGCUCGAUGAGCCCAUCCAUCUGCGGGUGGAAGACGGAGGUCCGGAUCUGCUUGAUCUGCAGGAGGGCACAUAAAUCUUUCAUUAGGCGGGACAUAAACUCUGUAACUUGGUCUGUCAGGAUCUCGUUCGGGAUGCCCACCCGGCUAAAGAGGUGGAACAGCUCCCGGGCGAUUUCCUUGGAUACCGCCGCCUGUAGGGUAAUGGCCUCGGGAUACCGGGUGGCAAAGUCUACUAUUAUCAGGAUGUACCGGUGUCCUCGUGCUGUUUUUACCAGGGGUCCCACUAUGUCCAUUGCGAUGCGUCCAAGGGCACCCCGAUGAUCGGUAGGGGGACCAGUGGGUUUCGGAAGUGUGCCUUUGGGGCAGUCAUUUGACACUCCGGGCAACUGCGACAGUCGUCUUCCAUGGCCCUCCUCAUCCCGGGCCAGUGGAACCGGGGUGGCGAUCCGUUCCCGGGUCUUCUCCAUUCCCAGGUGCGCCCCCAACAGGUGGGCCAGCUGAAGAACGGUUCCCACGUACCGUCAGGGUAGCAACAAUAUCUCUUGAAGUUUCCCCUGUUGGUGCGACACCUGACACAAAAGGUUAUUCUUGAUUUGGAAAUGGGGGUAUCGCCAGUCACUCACCCCUGGAAGUAGCUGUCCAUCCACCGUUAUCACUUGGGCUGCGGCGGCUUUGAAGUUAGUAUCCUCCCACUGGACCGUCCCGAAUUGUCCCCUCAGUUGGCCCCCGGCGGGUGUCUCGACUGGCCCCUCAAAAUCGAGGAGGGGGAGGCUAGGCUCUUCCUCCCGUGGUUCCCCAGUGGGGUCGGGUUCCGGCACCCCCUCCGACUCCGGACCUGUAGAUACAGGUUGGUCAACCGUUUGCUUCCGGGCUGCACAGGCGAUGGGUCGUCCUCGCUCUCGUCUUCGGCCGGCUCGUACCUUCUUCCUCAGCUCGUGCCCCCACAGGGCCAUGAACAGCGGACAAUCUCGUCCCACUAGGAGAGGUAACGGCAACUCUGGUACUGCACCCACCAUCAUCUGGCAGCUCCCUUGGGGCGUCACGAUGUUGGCCCAUACGGUUGGAUACCGCUUUGUGUCCCCAUGAACACAGGAAAUGGACAUCUCCCUACCACGUUCGGUCUCCUGGUUCAGCAGGCACAUGGUUAUGAGGGUAACCAUACUUCCGGAGUCCAAUAGAGCUUCCGUGUCGUGUCCGUCAACCUUCACCAGGACCAUGGGUGCAGUUGAUUCACUGCGUGACCCACCUCGCCUCCGGGGCUUGCUGAUGGCAUCGAUUCCUCUCGAGCCAGGCAAUUCCAGGCAAUGUGUCCCCGGGUGCCACACUCAAAACCCCUCCUUUGGUCUCCAUCUACCUGGGGUCGUCGGUGGCAGGUCUGGCCCUACCCCAGCCGUCUCUCCAGGGGUUUGCUGUCCUUUGGCCCUGCCGACUGUCAGUUCGGGGUACACAGCAGUGCGGCUGUCCUUCCGACUCCUCGAACGGGUUGCCGACUCGGCCCGGCUCCCACUCAGCAGGGCCUGAGUGUUCUAAUGUGUUUCCACUGCUUCCAGGAGGCCCUCCAAGGUCUGGGGCGCUGCUCUCUUCAUGUCAUGGGGUUGUGCCCGUAGGAAGCGAUCCAGGCCCACUUUGUCUAGGAUGGAGAGGGUGGAUGUGUCGGUUAGGAGCCAUCCCCUGGUGAUGCCCAGUAGGUCGCUCAUCUGGGCUCGGGGCGUCGGGCUAUGAACCUCCAGCUGUGGAAGAGUUGAGCCCAAUGGGCCAGGCUGUACCUGUAGCGGCUGAGUAUCUUCCAUUUAAGUCCGUCGUAGUUAGCCGCCUGUUCAUCGUUCAGGUCCCACUACGCCUUUUGGGCAUUCCCAGAGCGGAACGGGGCCAGCAGACUGGCCCACUUCUGUCUUGGCCAUCCUUCCCGUAGUACCGUCCGUUCAAACGUACAGAGGUAGGUUUCGAUGUCAUCGUCUUCCGUUAGCUUGAGUAAAAACUGGUUUGGAUGCGAUUCAGUAGACUCUCCUCCUUGUAGCUUCCUGAUUUCCUCAAUGAGGAGGACGUUUUGUAGCCGCUGUUCCUCCAGCGUUCGUUCCUGAACCGCCUGUUGGGCCGAGACGAACUGAGCUAUCAACUCGUCCAUGCUGAUGCUGCGUAAACGUCAACCCUGAUCUGACCACGUUAUCAGAGUGCCCACAUUCUCCACCACUUAUGGCAGACCAGGGGGUUGGGUCAAAAUGUUUACACAGAUCAGAUACAGACAGAGAAGGAUUAGCUCAGUUUCAAAGAUGUUUAUUAAAAUAAUAGUUCAAAAAGAAAAGAAUAAGUCUCCCUCAAGAGACCCUCUCCGGGAUACCGUCUUCUGGGCUCCGGGUCUUGCUGUAUCCUGUGGGGAUGAAAAACUCAACUCCCUCCUGUUACCUCUGUAACCGUCCCCAACUAUACAGGAGUCCUUUCUUCCCCCACUCUCUUCCUGUGUGCUGCCCUUCUGGCAGCUUUAUGGGACUUGUACAGCUGAUGAACAACCAGCCCUUGAUUACUCACCAACUCCCAAUCAGCCCCAAUUAGUCCUGGACGGAGAGCCCGUCGAGACCUGGCACGUCCAGCAGAUGGAGCCAUCGCCUCGUGAUGUACACUCUGUCUGUCACCAGGCCUCGACGAGUCUCCCCCUGGUGGCUGACCUGCUGUACGCCACAAUGAAUACAACAGUAUAUAUAGCAUGUUUACAUAGAGAUAUAUAUAUAAACUAUACAACAGUAUAUAUAGCAUGUUAACAUGGGAAUAUAUAUCAUCUAUACAUGAAUAUAACAGUCUAUAUGGGUCCAGUGUUGGUUUCUUGAGGAGGGAAGCGACUCGGGCCAUCUUGAAGUCAGUUGUCAGGGAUGAGUUGGUGAGGGAAGUGAGGAAUGGGAGAAGGUCUCCAGAGAUGAGUUGAUGAAGGAAGUGAGAAGGUCUCCAGAGAUGGUGUGGAGAAGGGAAUGGGGAUGAGUUGAUGAGGGAAGUAAGAAGGUCUCCAGAGAUGGUGUGGAGAAGUGAGGAGGGAAUGGGGUUGAGUUGAUGAGGGAAGUUAGGAAGGGGAGGUCUCCAGAGAUGGUCUGGAGAAGGGAAGAGGGAAUGGGGUUGAGUUGAUGAGGGAAGUUAGGAAGGGGAGGUCUCCAGAGAUGGUCUGGAGAAGGGAAGAGGGAAUGGGGUUGAGUUGAUGAGGGAAGUGAGGAAGGGGAGGUCUCCAGAGAUGGUCUAGAGAAGGGAAGAGGGAAUGGGGUUGAGUUGAUGAGGGAAGUGAGGAAGGGGAGGUCUCCAGAGAUGGUCUAGAGAAGGGAAGAGGGGUUGAGUGGGCAGGUUGUCGGGCGGACGGACAUCACUAAUCGCAGGAUUUUAUCUGGAGUGAGAGGGGAGAAUGAGGUCAAGGUGUAUGGUAGUUAUGGAGAGAGAUGGGAGAAAGAGGUCAAGGUGUAUGGUAGUUAUGGAGAGAGAUGGGAUAAAGAGGUCAAGGUGUAUGGUAGUUAUGGAGAGAGAGGGGAGAAAGAGGUCAAGGUGUAUGGUAGUUAUGGAGAGAGAGGGGAGAAAGAGGUCAAGGCGUAUGGUAGUUAUGGAGAGAGAUGGGAGAAAGAGGUCAAGGCGUAUGGUAGUUAUGGAGAGAGAGGGGAGAAAGAGGUCAAGCCGUAUGGUAGUUAUGGAGAGAGAGGGGAGAAAGAGGUCAAGGCGUAUGGUAGUUAUGGAGAGAGAGGGGAGAAAGAGGUCAAGGUGUAUGGUAGUUUUGUGUGAGUGGGACCAGUGGACUCAAUAGGCUGAGUGAAUGAGGAGCAGAUGUCGUCUGGAGAGAGAUGGGAGAAAGAGGUCAAGGCGUAUGGUAGUUAUGGAGAGAGAGGGGAGAAAGAGGUCAAGGUGUAUGGUAGUUAUGGAGAGAGAGGGGAGAAAGAGGUCAAGGCGUAUGGUAGUUAUGGAGAGAGAUGGGAGAAAGAGGUCAAGGCGUAGGGUAGUUAUGGAGAGAGAGGGGAGAAAGAGGUCAAGGCGUAUGGUAGUUAUGGAGAGAGAGGGGAUAAAGAGGUCAAGGCGUAUGGUAGUUAUGGAGAGAGAGGGGAGAAAGAGGUCAAGGUGUAUGGUAGUUAUGGAGAGAGAGGGGAGAAAGAGGUCAAGGCGUAUGGUAGUUAUGGAGAGAGAUGGGAUAAAGAGGUCAAGGCGUAUGGUAGUUAUGGAGAGAGAGGGGAGAAAGAGGUCAAGGCGUAUGGUAGUUAUGGAGAGAGAGGGGAGAAAGAGGUCAAGGCGUAUGGUAGUUAUGGAGAGAGAUGGGAGAACGAGGUCAAGGUGUAUGGUAGUUAUGGAGAGAGAGGGGAGAAAGAGGUCAAGGUGUAUGGUAGUUAUGGAGAGAGAGGGGAGAAUGAGGUCAAGGCGUAUGGUAGUUAUGGAGAGAGAGGGGAGAAAGAGGUCAAGGCGUAUGGUAGUUAUGGAGAGAGAUGGGAGAACGAGGUCAAGGUGUAUGGUAGUUAUGGAGAGAGAUGGGAUAAAGAGGUCAAGGUGUAUGGUAGUUAUGGAGAGAGAGGGGAGAAAGAGGUCAAGGCGUAUGGUAGUUAUGGAGAGAGAGGGGAGAAAGAGGUCAAGGCGUAUGGUAGUUAUGGAGAGAGAGGGGAGAAAGAGGUCAAGGUGUAUGGUAGUUAUGGAGAGAGAGGGGAGAAAGAGGUCAAGGCGUAUGGUAGUUAUGUGUGAGUGGGACCAGUGGACUCAGUAGGCUGAGUGAAUGAGGAGCAGAUGCCCUCUAGUGACCACUAUUCCAACACUAUAGUCAAUUACUUUGGGCCAAAGUCUCCCAAAGCUGUCUAAUACAUCUGGUCUAAAGUAGUGCACUAGGAAGGGAACAGGGCUCUGGUCUAAAGUAGUGCACUAUGAAGGGAACAGGGCUCUGGUCUAAAGUAGUGCACUAUGAAGGGAACAGGGCUCUGGUCUAAAGUAGUGCACUAUGAAGGGAACAGGGCUCUGGUCUAAAGUAGUGCACUAUGAAGGGAACAGGGCUCUGGUCUAAAGUAGUGCACUAUGAAGGGAACAGGGCUCUGGUCUACAGUAGUGCACUAUGAAGGGAACAGGGCUCUGGUCUACAGUAGUGCACUAUGAAGGGAACAGGGCUCCGUAGAGGAAUUUGGUGCCAUUUUAGAUUGGCCCUGUGUAUAUGCAACAUGAUAUAUCUAAUGUUGUUAGAUUAUAUAUAUUAGUGUAAAUUAUGUUAUUUGAUCUAUAUUAAUGUAAAUGAUGCUGUAUGAUGUAAAUGUCUCAGAAAAUAAACUGCCUGAUCCCGAAAGAACCAAUAAAAACCCAGAUGACAAAGC